rnacentral:rRNA from 1 species
CACACCGCCCGUCACACCAUGGGAGUUGGAUUCACCCGAAGGCGUUGCGCUAACUCGCAAGAGAGGCAGGCGACCGCGGUGGGUUUAGCGACUGGGGUG